UUUCAAUUAAAAAUGGCUUUAUUUCUACAUAUUGAAUUCUAAAUUUCAUAUAAUUUUAAUAUCACAAAAUAUUCUUGAUUCUUUAAUCCUUCAAAAGUGCAAAAACCGUUCUCAGCUCUAUACCUGCAUUGUUCAAUAAAGCAGCAUAUGUGAGUAUUUAACUAAAUCAAAAUUAAAUACAAUUUAAAUUCUGUUCCUCAGUCACACUAGCAACAUUUUCAAAUGCUCAAAAGCCACAUACGGCUACUAGUUACCACAUCGGACAGCAUAAGUAUGAAACGUUUCUAUUAUCACAGAAUAUUCUAUCAGACAAUGUAGCUCCAGGUCACUAUAUCUAUCUCUUGGGCAUAAACCUUUAGGUAUCUUCCCAGCAUUCUAAAUGUCCAAAAGUGAACUCUAUCUUUCCCUCAAAAUUAAUUCUUUAUUACCAGUAUGGUUAAUUGUACCAGCUUGUCCCUUGUCACUCAAGUCAUAAGCUUAGGAGACAUUCUCAAUUCUUCCUUCAUCAACCCUAACACUCAGUGACUGAGUGCUAGAAUUCUUUUUUUUUAACAUCACUAAAAUUUAAAUCCCUCUCUACUCCUCCCAGCCCAUUUUAAGCCUGUAUCUUCUUUGGUCCUUGUGCAAGUUUCCUACUUCUUCUUCUCCUUGCUUCCAGUAUUACACCUCUCUAAUCUAUUCUUCGAAUCAUCACCAAUAAUCUUUCUGAAAAGCAAAUCUGAUCAGUAUCUCUCUUUCUUACAAUUCCUAUGUGUCUCCCCAUACUCACCAUAGGGUAAAAUAUAACUUCAUUAUAUGGGUUCCAGCAGGAAUCAAUGAUAUACUCAAACUGGGAUAAUUUGAUAAAGAGAAUAUUUACAAAGGUGUGGACAGGGUGUAGGGGUGCUAUCAUAAAGACGUGUGUAGAACCAGCAUAAAAUGUGCUCCAUUAGCAUUUCUAGGCUUUAGGGAGCUAAGGAAGAGAGUGGUUGCCAGAAACUGGAGAUGCGGAAACUGGAGAUGGAGAGGGCUGUUUCUUGUUCUCAGACUACUUUUAGACUAUAUACCCUUUCUUGAAACUCAUUCACUUGUCUUAAUUCUCCUCCUACUUCCUUGACCUCUAUUUUGCUAUAUAGUCUUCAUAUUCUCUGCUGUGGUCCCAACAUACUGGUAACUUUCAAAUCCAUAUUUCCCUCAAGUUUCUCUCUUCUUAGCUCUAGUUUCCUAUAUUCAAUUAUCUUAAUAUAAAUAUAUGGAUAUCCCACAGGCUUUUCACACUCAGCAUGUCCAUAACAGAGCUCAUCAUCUUCCCUCUAAAAUUUGCUUUGCCUACAAAAUUCCCAGAAUCAGAAAAUACUACUACCAUCUAUCCAGUCACCAAAACCAGAGACCUGGUGUUGAAUAUGGGGGGUCUCUGGGUUAAAUUUGUCUCCCAGAUCUAAUUCUCACAACUAUAUCUACAUUCAAGUUUAUCUACCUAGAUCACUCUCCUGCUCUAGCCAAGCAAAAUUAUUAGCAGUUUUACAUGAUUCUUCUGUGCCUUUGCACGUGUUUUUCUCAAGAAUGCGCUCCAGCUGUUUCCCUUUGGCUGGCAUUCUUCUUCCUACUUAUUCUUGAAGACCAGUUCAAGGUGCACUUACUCUGUGAAAUGUCUUUUCCCACUUUUGUCCCCAUACUUUAAUUAUACCUACCUCAAAAAUUAUAAAUACCUCAAAUACAGUUAUUUCUUAAAUGUGUAUUUGUUGAUUUUUAAGUCUGUCUUCUCUACUGAACCUUAAGUUCAUUGAGAGCACAGAUUAUUAUCCCCAGCUGCUAACAUAAUUUGAACCUUUGUUCGCCUAUUUGGGCCUUGGUUCUAUCUGUAAAACAGGAACAAAAAAAAAAUCUACUCUGCAAAAUUAUUGUGAGGAUCAAAGAUACCGUCUGCCUAGUAAGAAGCCAGAACAAAGUAGGUGCAUAUAAAUUAGUGAAUGUUAUCAUUACUGAUAAAUAAGUGGGUGACCAAGCAUCUGAUGAAGAGAGGGAUUAGACUGACAAUGUGAACAUUCAUGUUGCUUUAAAGGAAUUGCAAGUAGCUCAGUUUUGUUAGAAAGCAGGGUAAAUAUUAAAUGAUGAGGGAUAAAUCUGUAAAGAUUAGAAACCGAUCCCAAUUGCUUUGGCUAUCCUUCUAGAGAGUUUGAUCUUUUACCUGCAGAUACAGGUCUACUGAUUUAAGUGGCAAGGGACAUGAUAAGAUCAUUUUCCACAUAACUCUGGUGGUACAGUAAGUAAGCUACAAGGAUGGAAGAACACUUAAGAGUUUGAGGGCUAGGUGCAGUGGCUCACACCUGUAAUCCCAGCAUUUUGGGAGGCUGAGGUAGGAGGAUCGCUUGAGCCUAGAAGUUCGAGACCAGGCUGGGCAACGUAGGAAAACACUGUCUCUACAAAAAAAUUUUUUAAAUUAGCCAUCUGUAGGGGCACAUGCCUUGGUCCCAGCUACUCGGGAGGUAGCAGAAAAACAGGGGCAAGUGGAAUCAAGGAAGCCAAAUUAAAAGAGUUUAAGAGAAGACCAGUCAAGAACAUUAAACAUAGGCCAGGCAGCAGUGGCUCAUGCCUGUAAUCCCAAUGCUUGGGCAGACCGAGGCAGGAGCACUUGAGACCAGGAGUUUGAGACCAGCAUGGGCAGCAUAGCGAGACUCUGUUUCUAAAAAUAAAGAAAUUAAGAACAUUAAAUACAGCAGAAAGGUCACAUGAGAUGAACUGAAAAAUGACCAUUGGAUUUGGUAUUUGUUACUUUACCAUUGUGUUGCAAUCGUGUGUGAAAAAUGGUGAUGCUUUGUCAUGAAUAGAGACUAACAAAAUAAUAAAUGAUUUGAAGGACAUGCAUCUUUUUUGUUUGUUUGUUUUGAGUCAGGGUCUCACU
rnacentral:lncRNA from 10 species